ACUUACCUGUAGAGGAAUUGGUAGACUCAGCGGUCUCUCAAACCGUUAUAUGCAGGUUCGAGUCCUGCCAGGGGGA